GAUGAACGCUGGCGGCGUGCCUAAUACAUGCAAGUCGAGCGAAUGGAUUAAGAGCUUGCUCUUAUGAAGUUAGCGGCGGACGGGUGAGUAACACGUGGGUAACCUGCCCAUAAGACUGGGAUAACUCCGGGAAACCGGGGCUAAUACCGGAUAACAUUUUGAACCGCAUGGUUCGAAAUUGAAAGGCGGCUUCGGCUGUCACUUAUGGAUGGACCCGCGUCGCAUUAGCUAGUUGGUGAGGUAACGGCUCACCAAGGCAACGAUGCGUAGCCGACCGGAGAGGGUGAUCGGCCACACUGGGACUGAGACACGGCACAGACUCCUACGGGAGGCAGCAGUAGGGAAUCUUCCGCAAUGGACGAAAGUCUGACGGAGCAACGCCGCGUGAGUGAUGAAGGCUUUCGGGUCGUAAAACUCUGUUGUUAGGGAAGAACAAGUGCUAGUUGAAUAAGCUGGCACCUUGACGGUACCUAACCGGAAAGCCACGGCUAACUACGUGCCAGCCGCCGCAGUAA
rnacentral:rRNA from 1 species